GGAUGUGAGGGUGCUCUGGCUAUGACGUCUGCCACCUCAUUGAUCAUCAUGGUUUAAUUGGCUAAAGUGGAAGAGGCAUGUGUCCUCUUCCUCCCUCACUGCUCUUGUGUUCAUUGCUCUAGAAGCUAUGCAUUCAGUUAAAGAGGAUGAGCUUCCCUGAUAGCGGAGGACCUUCUUUGGUUAACGGUAUAUAAGCAGCUGUGCUCGCCGGCUAGAACCUCCAAACAAACUCUUACGGACCCGGUGUUUCCAACACAUGGAAUCUGGGGAUAGUCAAACCACAGCAUCUACCAACUAUUCAAGCUGUCCAAGCAAACUCCCUCUGUU
rnacentral:snRNA from 1 species